rnacentral:rRNA from 1 species
AUUGAACGCUAGCGGGAUGCCUUACACAUGCAAGUCGAACGGAGUGGCGAACGGGUGAGUAAUGUAUCGGAACGUGCCCAGUAGCGGGGGAUAACUACGCGAAAGCGUAGCUAAUACCGCAUACGAUUGGAGCGGCCGAUAUCGGAUUAGCUAGUUGGUGGGGUCACGGCUCACCAAGGCGACGAUCCGUAGCUGGAUUGAGAGGACGACCAGCCACACUGGGAAUAAGACACGGCACAACCGCCUACGGGAGUCGACAGUGGGGAAUUUUGGACAAAGGGGGAAACCCUGAUCCAGCCAUCCCGCGUGUGCGAUGAAGGCCUGCGGGUUGUAAAGCACUUUUGGCAGGAGAGCGGUACCUGCAGGAUAAGCACCGGCUAACUACGUGCCAGCAGCCGCGGUAAUAC